rnacentral:lncRNA from 1 species
CAGAACUGUGCUGGCCAGGUGCUUGCUGGGCAUUUCAGAGAAGCCAGAGAGUGGGAGAAACACCAGUGACUGGACCUGAGCUGUAGGGAAUGGAAAAGGCCUUUGAAGGUGGAAUGGAGAAGAAAGGGCCUCCUAGGCAGGGGCUGGGCCCAGAGGAGGGAUCCACAGUGAGUGCCCUGGAGCAGGCCACUGGCUUGACCUAGAGAGGAGUCACUGUUUCUUAGCAAGGCAACUACGUGGACUUCAAGGUUGGCUUUGCCUGGUAAAGCUCUGAUGAUGAGGAUAAUGACAAGAAACUCCUCCAAGAUUGUUCUGAAGUCAGUCCUGACCCAGUGGGUGACCUUGAUCCACCAGAAAUGCAUGGAAUUCAUUGCACCGCUAGAGAUUCCGUGUCUGGGGUGAGCCUCAUGUCAUAUUUUGUUGUAAGCAGAUUUCCAGCGGGUUUGUAGCUUUGCCUCAAUCCUGGCCCACUGCUGGGGAUGCUGAUGCCAUGCCUUUCUCCUGCCAGCAUAUUCAUCCCCACGUGCUUGAAUUCCAUUUUCACACCUCCAGUCAUGGGGUAUAGGAUGGACUGAUCUUCCAGAACUGUGUUAGCGUGACCUGCCUAUGAGAAUCCCCAUUAUUGGAGCCACUCUUUUGGGUGGACCACACCCCUUCCCCCAUCAAUUACCGAGAGACCCCUCUGGGGCCACGUAUUGGACUUCUGGAUCCCAGAGCAGCGCCCCUACAGGUGGGUCAGUUCACCUACUGACGGAGUCCACCUACCCCACUGGGUCACGUUGGCCAGCCCCAAUCAUGAAGCACAUUACCCCUCCUACCAACCCAGAUGGGGACAAUGAACCCCCUAUCAGCUGCUGCAUUUCUGAUAUGCCCCUAUCAGAUAGAAUAUUAAAGAAAACACAGGUCUGUCUGGAAAUACCACCAAACCUCAGUGUACAAUGAAACAUAUAUUAACACUUUCUUUUGUGCUCUUUCUUGUGGCAUUUCUUUGGAGAGGAAAUGCUGUUUUGCAACUACCCAUUAACCAUUAAUGUCUUGAGGCACAGUGGGAAAAGGAGAAAAGAUAAAGGGAUAAUGCCUGUGAUACAGGCCACCCAAAAGGUUCACCACGAUGUGAAUUAUUUCAAACAUGUUCGAUCUGUUUCUAUAAUUUUGUUAUUCAUGAGACAUACAG